UCGAGGGGUACGCGCCUCUUGUUGCGGGCUUUCAGCUGCAGACAGAGAGGUGUCGACGACGGCCGGACCAUGGAGCGGCGGCCUUGCGAAAUUCAGAUCGACGGUAAGCCGCUAUGCCCGUCGCGAAAAUCCACACCCGAAAAUUUAACCCCGCGGCGUUCAUCUGUAGGGCUGGAGUGGAAAAUUCGCCUGCUGUUAGUUCCAAUCCCGUGCGGUGUUCCCCCUGGAUCCAGCCAAGAACCCACCCGUUCCUCUGCCAUUGUGAGUUGGUAGAUCGAGUGACUGGAGCAAUGGCUGUUCGGAGAGGAGAUGGAUAUCACUGGCCGUAGUGUUCUGUUGGGCUGGAUAUCUUUUGUGUACCGGUGAAAGGACUAAACGAUUCUUUCACAAUAUACUAGAGUUCGUACAGAUUUGUCCAAACUUGUGAGGAAUUGCAACGCUGCGCGAUGCAGAAACUACCAAAUGCUCAGUUAAAGUUUUUUUCUUAUUACCUGAAGCGCAUUGUUUUUUCAAGUCCUAGGUGUAUGCCGGCAAAAUGCCUGAUCCUGUUCUGUUAUUGCAGAUGAAUCGGCUGCUUCAUUGGCUAUAGGAAAGGGAUCACCCUGCAAACACGAUGGCAAAACAAGGAAAUGUUCAGGGCCAGAACUUCCAGAAGUGAGUUACAGCAUCAAUUGACUUAUACCUGAUGGUGCAGUUAAGGCUGAAGUGUGCGUGCCACUGAUUAAUUGACAAUAGAUGUUGGGUCUGUGUGAGAAUGUGAGGUCAAGACAUAUAUAGUAGCCAGGGGUAGACUAGAAGCAAAGGGCAAGAACAUGUUGUUCUCGCUGCCAAGAUUGGGGUUAUGGUUGACCGUUUGUUAUCAGGCACUGUAUUUGGAUCUGAUAGCUCUGUGUUUCUACUCACUUUUCAUAACAAGCAUCCAGUCUCAUAUGCGCCGUCCAAUAAUAGUGGGAGGGAGGGAGGGCGGGCAGCGGCGACGAGCGGAGGAACGUGCGACUGAUAGGAUUACAAAGAGAUUAAGCAUGAUUAAAGAUACAACAAUAUGGUGCUGUCAGCAUGUUCCUUUAGUUAUCCCGUUUAUAUUGUUACUAUGUUGCAGCAGAUGCUUUAUCUUGAAUUCCGUCUAUUUACAUCACUUAUUUGCCGCUGCUACUGGAAUUGUAGUAAGAGAUAAUGGUUAAGCAGUAGUUGCUGCCCAGUUGAAUUUCUCUUUUGAUCUAUGUGUUCUAUGAUUUGUUAUGAAUGUUUGCAUUUUGUUCAAAUGUGACAAACUCCCUUUCUUUGAAACAGAGUUCCACUUGUAAUUUGGAAGUUCUAUAAAAGUGUGUCUCGGUGUGACAACCUGAAGGGGUGUGAUCAGGAGGCAAAACUACGAACUGGGAGCUUGGCUAUGGAGAAACAGAGCUGGAUAUUGCGUUCUCAAUGUGAAUAGAAUGUCUCAGUGCUACUAUGUUAAGGGGUGCAAGGGCAUGAUGUUUCUAAUCUGAUGCAAUCUCAAUGUUUACUAAGUAUCUGUGUCUGAAUCUGCAUGUUUUGCUUGCUGCCUUGUAGGAGUCUCUCCCUUUCUUCUGUCAAAUUUGGAACGCCUGAUCAUGUGAAAAACACUGGUUACUCUGUUUUCACGGAUUACUAUCUAACUGUAAGUCUGUUCUAAACCCUAAGCCCCAUGUAAAUCUGAUGUAAGAUUAAGCUAUUUAACUUUAACUUAAAAG
rnacentral:lncRNA from 1 species